UGGAAUUCUGUGGUGUAGUUUUAGAGUUGUGAUGACAAAAUUAAGACUGACAGACUGAUAUGUCAAAAACAUUAUAUCCUUGAAACUUUGUUGCGUGGGGAAUAAUUAUAUUACUACAGUUUAAUGUUGAUAACAAUUUUGUCCAGAUUACCCUUUUUGCUGCUUGAAAGAAAUACCUGUGUAUUGCUUUAAUAAUUUUUUUGUCAUAGGGAAGACAAAUUUCAAAUAUAAUUAUGAUCACUUAUUGCAGUUGAGUAUAUUAAUCCUUGGUUUCUCUUAAACAAAUGAACAAGG
rnacentral:lncRNA from 1 species